UACGAAGGGGGCUAGCGUUGUUCGGAAUUACUGGGCGUAAAGCGCACGUAGGCGGACAUUUAAGUCAGGGGUGAAAUCCCAGAGCUCAACUCUGGAACUGCCUUUGAUACUGGGUGUCUUGAGUAUGGAAGAGGUGAGUGGAAUUCCGAGUGUAGAGGUAAAAUUCGUAGAUAUUCGGAGGAACACCAGUGGGCGAAGGCGGCUCACUGGUCCAUUACUGACGCUGAGGUGCGAAAGCGUGGGGAGUAAACAGG
rnacentral:rRNA from 1 species